rnacentral:rRNA from 1 species
GCUCAACCGGGGAGGGUCAUUGGAAACUGGGGAACUUGAGUGCAGAAGAGGAGAGUGGAAUUCCACGUGUAGCGGUGAAAUGCGUAGAGAUGUGGAGGAACACCAGUGGCGAAGGCGACUCUCUGGUCUGUAACUGACGCUGAGGCGCGAAAGCGUGGGGAGCGAACAGGAUUAGAUACCCUGGUAGUCCACGCCGUAAACGAUGAGUGCUAAGUGUUAGAGGGUUUCCGCCCUUUAGUGCUGCAGCAAACGCAUUAAGCACUCCGCCUGGGGAGUACGGUCGCAAGACUGAAACUCAAAGGAAUUGACGGGGGCCCGCACAAGCGGUGGAGCAUGUGGUUUAAUUCGAAGCAACGCGAAGAACCUUACCAGGUCUUGACAUCCUCUGACAACCCUAGAGAUAGGGCUUCCCCUUCGGUGGCAGAGUGACAGGUGGUGCAUGGUUGUCGUCAGCUCGUGUCGUGAGAUGUUGGGUUAAGUCCCGCAACGAGCGCAACCCUUGAUCUUAGUUGCCAGCAUUCAGUUGGGCACUCUAAGGUGACUGCCGGUGACAAACCGGAGGAAGGUGGGGAUGACGUCAAAUCAUCAUGCCCCUUAUGACCUGGGCUACACACGUGCUACAAUGGGCAGAACAAAG